GCGCGUACACGAGCUCACUUGUUUGUCGUGCACUUAGGUACUUGACACAUCGAAUCUGACGGCUGGGAACAAAUACAUAUAUUAAAUAUGUUGCAAGUUAAAACACGACAAAUGUCAAGCUGUCCUGCCUCUGGUUUGCCAGAAAAGUUACCUGUUUCCCAGUUACCAACUUACAACGACAUUAUGAAAUAUUAUUUAUUUAUCAAAAAUGAAUUGAAGCCUGAUAUAGCAACAAAAGAGCCAACAGUUCAUGAAAUAUCUGAAAGGCUGGCUCAAGAAGUUUUAUAAAUAUGGCAAAAAUCGUCGCUGCCAACUGUAAGUUUCAAAAGAAUCCUACAAUUGAUUCGCGUUUAUCAUGACAAAUACAGAUGCUUAAUGAAACCAUAUCGAGGCCGUCAAACGGACAUUAAAUACCAAGAAAAAAAUAAUAAAUUCAUAUCAGACUCUCAUAGUUUCUUUGAUAUUUGUAGCUGCAAAUGCAAAGUUAUAUCGGAUUGUAACUGUCCUAAAGAAUGUCGCAUUCCCAAGGAGGAAGUUGUUUUUUUAUUGGAUCAAAGAACGACCAGAAAAAUGAUGAUAGGCGGUGUCGAUGUGGCUACAGCGGCAAAAAUAAGAAAAAACAAGAAAGAAAAGAAAAAGCUUUAUAUCGCAGUAGAGAGGUAAACUAUUUUGAUAAACCUUGUUGUUCUCGUUCAUUGACUGAUGAUUUUGUAACAGAAAGCAGCAGCUCAUGCGAUAGUUUGCUUGUGCCAUCUACUAGUCCUCAGUAUAAAAACCCAGAACAGGUAAAACAUAAAGCUUCGCCACCUAAUAAAAAAAAAACGAUUGAAUUUAACCUCAUUAGCUCUUGCAUGCGAUCGUACUGGAGUUUCGGAUAGAGCCGCUGCUAUUAUAGCUUCUUCUGUCUUGAAAGAUGUUGGCAUUAUUGAAACCUUGAAAAAUGUGGUCAAGAACGGUCUCAGCAUAUGUCAGAUUAUUGAUUUUCCAUGUCACACUCAAGCAGUAGAGCGCUGCAUCAAGUUGGUGACAGAAGCAUCAAAUGCAGUUUGUGGAGAUAAUAAAAGAGACGGUUUCAUUAGAGCGACACUGCUUUCGCGUAAACGAAUGCCUACUUUUAAUACGAAAAAACAGUUUGAUAUGUAAGUUUGCUUUUUUAAUGUUUAAUUUUUGCAAUUAAUAGAAAAAUUGGAUUUUU